GACGAACGCUGGCGGCGUGCCUAAUACAUGCAAGUAGAACGCUGAAGGAGGAGCUUGCUUCUCUGGAUGAGUUGCGAACGGGUGAGUAACGCGUAGGUAACCUGCCUGGUAGCGGGGGAUAACUAUUGGAAACGAUAGCUAAUACCGCAUAAUUGUAGAUGUUGCAUGACAUUUGCUUAAAAGGUGCAAUUGCAUCACUACCAGAUGGACCUGCGUUGUAUUAGCUAGUUGGUGGGGUAACGGCUCACCAAGGCGACGAUACAUAGCCGACCUGAGAGGGGGAUCGGCCACACUGGGACUGAGACACGGCCCAGACUCCUACGGGAGGCAGCAGUAGGGAAUCUUCGGCAAUGGACGGAAGUCUGACCGAGCAACGCCGCGUGAGUGAAGAAGGUUUUCGGAUCGUAAAGCUCUGUUGUAAGAGAAGAACGAGUGUGAGAGUGGAAAGUUCACACUGUGACGGUAGCUUACCAGAAAGGGACGGCUAACUACGUG
rnacentral:rRNA from 1 species